rnacentral:misc_RNA from 1 species
GUAGAAGUGACAGGUGAGUCAUCGAAUCUUUGAACGCACAUUGCGCCCCUUGGUAUUCCAUGGGGCAUGCCUGUUCGAGCGUCAUUUGUACCUUCAAGCUCUGCUUGGUGUUGGGUGUUUGUCCCGCCUUUGCGCGUGGACUCGCCUUAAAGCAAUUGGCAGCCGGCGUAUAGAUUUCGGAGCGCAGCACAAAACGCGCUUUGUUAGCAAUACGGUGGCGUCCAGUAAGACUUUUUUUAACUCUUGACCUCGGAUCAGGUAGGGAUACCCGCUGAACUUAAGCAUAUCAAUAAGCGGAGG